GAGUGGAAGUGCAUGUGAGGAACUGGGAGCAAGAGGUGUGCAAGAAGCUGACUUGUGCUUCCAGAUCUAGAAGAAGACAAAAGUCUGCUCUUUUAAAAAUAGAAGUACCAUAACAACCAAUUCACAAACAGUUCCCGAAACAGAGAGAGAGACUAAGCCAUUAAGAAAACAUUUGGAUUUUGAUCUUCCAUGAGAUAAUGGAAAGGAGAUUGAUUAUGGCCUGGCCAUUUCAUUGAUCUGCAUCAAAUUUCCAUUGAAGUUAAUGGGAAUUCUGAACAUAAAACAGUGGCAUAAAAUAGAGGAAAAUCGCUGAAGAAUCCC